AUUUUUAAGCCCACAAAGAGGACUCAUUUACUGGAGUGGAAGUCCAUGCUGCAUAAUGUGAGUCAAAUGUGAAGGAAGGUGGUGUGAGAUUUCCUCAUUGUGGAAUGUGACCCGCCCUUGCUCCUCCAAGGUGAGUCACUUCCUUCAGAGCCCAGCAUGGGUCCCUCUGAAGAGCUUCAAAUUCAGGCCACAGAAGGAUGCUCUCUUAUGGGUAUAUCUUAUAGGGUGCCUGGCAGAGCUCUCAGCUCACAUUGGUCCCCACAGCAGCCCUACAAAGUAGAUACUAGCUUAAAAGUCAGGUAAUGGUAAAUGGCAGAGCCAAGAACCCAAAGGGAAGCCUCCCUGCCCCGAAGCAGCCUCAGAGUGGGUCACAGACACCAUCUCUGUGAGCCCCCUUCUGUCAAGCACUGAGCAAGGCUGGCAUCACAGCAAGGAGGCUUCAGGAUUUUAACUCUGCUUGUGUCUGAGUAUUUUUGUCACUUUUCACUUUUUAAAAUUCCUUAUUGUGAACAGCAUAGUGAAUCUGUUCAUCACAGACUUCUUGAUCCUGGGAAGAUUUUGGUUCAUUACACAUACAAGCACAUCCUCUUCCCUUAUCUGCUAUUGAAGCACAGUAAACACAGGGUAGAUGUGUUUGUGUGAAUUAUUAAAAAAAAAAAAAGAAAAUAAUAAAAGGCAAAUGUUGCUUGCCUCUCUUCCCACCCUGCCUUCCCAUUAAGAGUCAAAUACCAUGCUUGCUGUUGUUUCAGUGAUUAUUCAGAAGGAGAGAGCUGACAACCCAAAAUAGGGAAAGGUAAAAAUACAUAUGCAUUAAGCUGAAAUGCCAGUAUGAAUAAACAUUUUGUUUUUGUUUCUGCUUGGUCCUACAGAAAUAGUUUUCCCCCCUGCAUUUUAGCUCCUUUAUCCCUCAUGUCAGACGCUGAUAGUAGAAGCACCUGCUUCUCCCCUUGGCCUACCUUGGAGGAGCCUGGGGGCUCUGAGCGGACAUAGGCCAUGCUGCCAUCCUUACUCCCUCUGUAGGGCUGCUGCAGCCCCUCAGGUUUCUCCCCCCAAAACUCACACAGGCAAUUGCUGACACGCCCCCGCAGCAGGUGGUAGACCCCACACCCACCUGCAUUUCAGAACCAAAGAAGUCUAGAGUCAUUGUGGGCUCUGAGGACCCGACAGUGACCUGGGGCCUCAGAUGUUGCCAACCUCCCUGAUCCCUAGCAAAUGGGCCUGACUCUUCCUUGUCCCAGACAACAUCCUGGUGCUGCCUUCUGGUCGUGAGCUGCCUUCAUUUGUUAGUGUUUCCUCCUCAGGAGACCAGUCAUAUGAAGAGGCAUUGUGUUUCUCCUUUGUCGGCAUUGUUUGGAACACGUCUUUUUGCUGGGCUUUCAUAGUAUGUUGUCUGUUUCAAGAGUUAUUUUGAAGCCCUUACGUGAGAAGUGUUCAUUGAUGUACAGCUCUACACAGUACUGGGUGCGGUGAGGCCAUUGAAUGGCAGUGAAAUGCAUGGCUGUGGCUGCAUCACAGUGAGGGGAACCGUAUAGCUCAGUGGUUAAUAUAAAGGUUUUUGACAUUAAACCCACUUAUGCUUUAAUCCUAGCUCUCUGCUCGCUAGCUUUGUGACCUAGGUGAAUACUUGAUCUCCCCAAGCCACAUUUCCUUUCCCUGUACAAUGAGAAUGGUUGCAUCUACCUUGUAGAGCUUUUGUGCAAAACCAAUAGAAACAGCAUGGGUGAAGUGCCAAGUUCAGUGCCUGGCACUUUGUGUCACGAAGUAGUAGCCACCCAGUGAGGACAGUGUGUGCAGAUGUGUGGACUUAGGUGAUGAAUGGAGAUCCUAGAAAGGAGGAACUGCCUCCAGUUUUGUGAACCUGCUGCCACAAGAGCAUGGAGUUCCCCUAAAGUGGGGCAGGUGGAAAAUCCCAUAGAGGAGCAGAAGAUGACUCAUCACUCACCAAUCAGCUCAUUUCCACCAGCUCCCCAGUGUUCUGCCAUGUAAAGGGGAUAGAUUUUUCCAGCUGAUUUUUUUUGCUGACCAGUACAUUCUAUAAGAAAUGAUAGCUCUCCUUUAGUCCAUGUUGUUCAAGUUCCACAUUGUUCAAGUUCAGAGAAAGGCCCUAUGCAAUCUGGAGAAAGCCAUGUGCUAGAGGAGGCUGUCGUGGGUUUGCUCCCACUUGCUGUUGCCAGAACAAGACAGAGAGUUGUCUGCACUCUGUCCACAGCAUUGCUCUGCUCCUCCUCUGAGGUUUUGUGUUGAUUCUUAUCCCUACCCAGAAGGGUUGAAAUCUCAGGGAUGACAUUCAAAAGAAAUGAGUAUAGGAAGGGCCAAGAAACAAAGACAGUGAUUGCUGUGCUAGAGAACUUUGAAUUCGUCAAAAUGUGGAGAUGGAAAUCCAGGAUUUAUCUUCAUGGUGCAUUGGGCAUGGUUUUUUUGUCCUCCUAGGAGGGCACUGGUCAUCCUGCCGACCCACAGCAGCAGGCAGGCUUGGAAGCCGGGGCUGUGCACCUUGUACCGUCCUUGUAGUGGAAGGACAUACCUACUUGUCUCUUUGUUGUUGUUUUUGGUCUCUGAAAGUAGUCACGCAAAAAGAUUCUCUGUGGAUUUUUAACAAGUUUGUAUGGGUACUUUAUUAAAAUAAAGUGACUCUUUUCACGUGAUUUUGUGUACUAGUUAGUCAUUGUUUCUCAGGCUUGUCACAGCCUGUGGGGAUCGGAAGCUUGGAGUGGCUCUCUUUCUAGAAACCACGCAUCACCUAUUUAGUUCCUUUGAAUAUUUUACUAAAAUAAUUUAAUGACUUUUUUCUGUGCCUGUGGUGUCAUCAAAGGAGAGUUGCAUGUUAGAAAUUUCACAUUAAAAAUCCCUCAAGAAUUGAUACCUACAAAAUAUCUUUUUAUAAAAAAUAUUUUACCUUGUUUUUGUCAUUACACUGAUUGUGUGUUGUGAGACGUCAGCAUCCUGAUUUGUUUUAAUGAUCUCAUUGUGAUGUCCUUGAGAACAGGCUGUGUGUAAGUACACGCGUGCGACUUGUGGUGUGUGCUGAAGUGCAGAGUGAUAGUGUUCCCUCUUUGCAUUCUCAGCACAGAGCUCUGCAGGGUUUCCAGCCUUCCAGGUAGAGGAGAAAUUGUUGCUAUGGUAAUACCACAAGCAUGAAAACACCCUCUGUCCCCGUGGGUGUCUGUGUCAGGGCAGGGAAUGUGGAAAAGGGAAACAGUAGCAAAGAGGAGUGUUCAGCACCUAAGCUGAAGCUGCUGUUGUGUGGAAUUUCUUGUGUUUAUUCUUGAAUUCAAGGUCAGAUUCCAGUUGCAAUGUGGUAGCCAAGAACGUAAAAGGCCUUUUAUUCCUCAGUGUCUUCCCUGACUUUGAGACAAAGAUAAAGAAUACAGAGGGUCUGUGUGUCACAUCUCCAGUCCCCAGAGGCCACAUGGCCUUCCCACAGACCACAGUUAGAAAACGUGUCUGUAUCUGUGGCCACUACAUCACUGCAAAUGGAAUCAUCCACCCAGCCCCGGAAACUCUGCUGCCCUUCAUGUCCAGUAACAGGCUAAGGCAGCAGUCCCUGCCAUCUCUCCUUAAACUAAAUAACAGUUCAUGCUCUGUGUCUUUACAACAUGCUAAUGUCUCCUGAGAAGAUGGACUCCAAAUAUCCUUAGUAACGUAGAGCAUCGAUGAGAAACAAAAUCCCAUCUGCUGAAGUUGUGGGUGAAGAACACAACAAAAAGUGAGUGUGCAAUUCCGUCAGGACAUCAGGAUCAAUAUGGGAAGAAUAGCUUGAGCAGGGCGUGUGGCAUCAUAGUUAAAACAGGGUGAGGUCUAGGUAUUUGCUAAUAAAAUUCUUCCUGGGUUUUAGGGGCUUUUUACUCUAUACUAGUCAAAGUCACACAUCUGGUAAGUGACAGCAUCAGGAGUCAAAUCUAGGAUUUCUCAUUGUUAUUUGUGUUUUUAGGUGUGAUUCUGGUAUGUUGCAUUAGUUUCAAGAGUCUUUAUCUUUUGCAGAUACAAACAAAUAUUUAUAAAUGAAAUUAUUUGUAAUCUGGGAUUUGCUUCAAAAUUAUACUGAAGGAGUGGGGGAUGAGUGAACAAGUAGGGUAUAGAUAAGCUAGGUUUGGCCAUGAGUUUAUCAUUAUUAAACAGGAUGAUGGGUGCAUAGGGUUCAUUAGAUUCUCUGCUUUUGUGUAUGUUUAAAAUUUUCUACAAUAAAAAGUUAGUUUAAAAAAAAAAACAAAUCAAAAACUCUAGCUCUGUCCAGUGUUAGCUUUAUCUGUGCUCUCACUGUUUUGGUUUGCUUUGCUGCUUUCCAGUUUACUCUUGGAGACUGGAAAGAUCCUUAUUCAAAUGUUCUGUUUUGUGGCUUGUUUACUUGUUUUCAAUGAUGAGAAAACAUGUAACAUAACAGGAAAAUGU